CACCACGACAGUGUGAUGCUUUAUCUCUCUUGCUUUCCCUUUCACAGGCACUAUAAGAUCAGGACUCUCUGUGCGGAAAGGUAAGCUGAGGAGUCUCGAUCAAUCAAUCAUAGUUAUUGCUCUCCUCCUUCGUCCUUGGCCAGUUGGCUAUUGGGAGAGAGAAUGGUGGCUUCACAGAGCUUUUAAAAUAGGACAGAGGGCCAAAGUUGGGCCACGCUAGCAGUGAAGCCGCGGUGAGGUCCACAGUCCAGUCAGGAAAGGAACCCCCUUCCUCAAUGAUCCCUGGAGUGGAUCUAAGCCAGUGGUGUACAAAGCUUUUUCAAAGAGGGUCAGAUUUGAUGAAGUGAAGAGCUGUGGAAGCCAACCAGAGGGCAAACCAAAGAUGUUGAGGUUUUUUAGGGUUGGAGUUGUUGAGCUGCUUUUUAGGAUUGACGUUGUUGUUGUUGUUUUAGGAUUUUACAUCAGGAGAUAAACUCACAGGGGCAAUUAGGCCCCCCAAAUGGACUUUGGGCAUGCCUGACCUAAGCUCACGAUGUCUAUCCUCCUGGCUAAUUCCUCUCUGCGUGACGCCAAUACCUCUUCUCCUGCACAAAAGCUGCUUUCCUUCCUGCCCAUCUUUCGCGUGGGGCCAAAAAGCUGCCUUGAGCUGCCUCUGGGGACGCACCCCUUCGGAAAAAGAAGAGGAGAAAUGUGUAGAAAAGUAACUUCCAGUGUAUUUCUUAAUUUUUAAAAUCAAAGGAUCCAUGUGUGUGUCUAUGUAUCGACACCAUUAAA